rnacentral:lncRNA from 1 species
AAAAAAAAAAAAAAAAAAAAAAAAUCAAAGCAAACAUCUAGGAGAAAAGUUGGCAGAGGAUCCAGCCAGGCCGGUCCAGAAAAGGGAUGGCAGAAAGGCAUAAAUGUCCGGAAAGACCUUCCAAAUGACCCAGGCAGGAGGGAAGCUGCACUCCUUAGAGAGAGCCAGGUUUAAGGAAAGACAGUGGAGAUCUGGUGAGAGGGUAGUGGUUUAAGUUGCUGAAGACAGCUUUGUUUAUUUUUGUUUUUCAAGAUGGUUUCUCUGUGUAUCCCUGGCUGUCCUGAAACUCACUCUCUAGACCAGGCUGGCCUUGAACUCAGAAAUCUGCCUGCCUCUGCCUCCCGAGUGCUGGGAUUAAAGGCGUGAGCCACCACUGCCUGGCUGAAGACAGCUUCCUUAUAUGGUCUUUUCCUUCUCUCUUCCUUUCCUCUUGCUUUUCUUGAAACAGUUUUUUUUUCUCCAUAUGGUCCACACUACCUUGGACCCAAACCCAUGAUCUUGGACUAUUAGCCUUGCCAGUGCUGGGAUUUAUUGGUGUGUGUUAUCUGGUGUAACAAAAGUCGGGAAAGCUCUUAGUCAGCCCUGGAUGGAAUUGUCUCCACUUGAACAGAUAACUUUUAGGAAACAGAUUAGUGGCCAGCACUGGUCAGGCAGAGGCAGGAUGAUCUCUGGGAGUUGAAGGCUGGCCCAUUGUACAAAGUGAGCUCCAGGGGCCCAGGACAGCCAAGGCGACAUAGUAAGAGCAUGUCUGUCCAUCUGUCUGUCUCUCUCUCUAUAUAUAUACAUACAUACACACACACACACACACACACACACACAUUUCUAAGGUGAUCUGUAAUUAACUCCAGAGGUCUUUGUGAUAUUGAUGAGUAAAAUGCCCAUGCUUCUAGCAGCUCAGAGCACACAUGACAGUAACAGGUGCAUUUAGCCCUGCCCUACUUGGGGAAGAAGCAAUUUUUUUUUUUAAGAUUUAUUUUAUUUUUAUUAUAUGUAAGUACACUGUAGCUGUUUUCAGACACUCCAGAAGAGGGAGUCAUAUCUCAUUAUGGAUGGUUGUGGACCACCAUGUGGUUGCUGGGAUUUGAACUUCGGACCUUUGGAAGAGCAGUCAGGUGCUCUUAACCACUGAGCCAUCUCACCAGCCCCGGAAGCAAACUUUUUAGCUGUACAUUGAUAUUGUUCUUCUGCGGGAAGCUCUAGAGAGGGAAAAACCCUGUGGACAUAUUUCAGACAGCAAGCUGCUGUGCUUUCAGAAGUAGGGAAGGCCUGUAGUGCUUUAAAGAUAGAAGCUGCCUUGCAACUUGACCUAGUUCUGAGAUGCUUGGGAGGAUCUACCAGAAACAUUCAUUUACCCUUCUACGGUGGUAUCCCUGUCCCUGGAACUCACUGAGAGGCCCCUGCCUCUGCCUCCUGAGCAGUUGCAUUAAAGGCAACCAUGCCUAGCAGUUUUGGGAUUUUGAUGAGGAGGGCUUGCUUCCUGGUUAUAAGGAGAUGGCACUGUAGGGUUUAGAGCUGAACUGUGUUUUUGAGACAGGGUCUCAUUGUGUAGCCCUGGCCAGCCUCAAACUCAGGGUUCCACCUGCCUCUGCCUCUCUGGUGCUGGGUUUAAAAAUAUGUACCACCAUGGCAUGCUGGGCAGUCUUUUAUAGCAUUUAGCUUGGUGGUGUUUAGAGAUGUACAGUGCUUACUGGCUUUUUCCCCUUUGGAAUGAUUUUAAGGUGGACUUUACUGGGGCUAAAGAGAGAGAGAGGGCUCGGCAGUUAAGAACGUGCCUGCCAGUAUUAUGGAAGACCUGAGUUCAGUUCCCAGCAUCCACACUGGGCAGCCUGUAACUCCAGCUCCAGGAGAUAGAUCUGAAAUUCCCAUCUCUCCUUCACCAGCUUGGCACACAUGGCAUAUGGCACACAGAUGUAUGCUCAUUUAAAAAAAACAAACUACUGGUAUUGAGGUGUAUGUAUGUGUGAGCGCAUGCACUCCUGUGCUGUUUUGCCAGUGGAGGUCAGAGAGCAACUUUUGACUUCCUAAUACUGGGGUUUCUGGGAUCAAACUCAGGUCGUCAGACUUGUGUGGUGAGCAUUUUACCUCUGAGCUUUCCUGACACUUCCUGCUUGGGAACAUUUCUGCCCCUCUGAUGCUUUAUCUCCCUUCCUUUCACUGAGUCAUUAUAUCUUGGUGGUUGAUAAGGCCUUCAGUGAAUUUUGUGGUCGGUCAGCACUUCACAGGGAACAAGACAGCAGACCUAGGCAGGUGGCCUGUAGAUGAAGAGAAAGGAUCAAGAAUUCAAAGCCAAGCCAGGCGGUGGUGGUGCACGCCUUUAAUCCCAGCACUCGGGAGGCAGAGGCAGGCGGAUUUCUGAGUUCGAGGCCAGCCUGGUCUACAGAGUGAGUUCCAGGACAGCCAGGGCUAGACAGAAAAACCCUGUCUUGAAAAACAACAACAAAAAGAAUUCAAAGCCAGCUUGUACUAGAUAGUUGGGGCAACCUGAACUACUUGACACCCUGUCUUCAAAACGGCAAGCACCAAGUGUGGUCCUUGCUCUGCGUGGUCCCAGAUCCUCAUUUGGAAGGGAUGGAGGCUGCGGGUAGGAUUUGACUGUAGUUCUGGCAUUAGAACAAUGAAGCCAAGUGACUGACUUGAAUUUAAGACCUGAAAAAGCUCGGGCUUGGAUCUGGAGUCUCUUUAGCGAGACGGGAAAGGAGUGCAUUUCCUGCCUGAGUGUCUGAAAUCUGAAGCACCACACCCUCGGGGACCGUUCCUGGGUCACAUUUGAUUUGCUGAAUGCCUUGUAAGAUUGGUCUUGGUGGGGGCAAGACCCCUUUAUUCGUGGAGAUCCACAGUAACCAAGCCCACCUGGAGGGCUUCUUAAAAUUCCCCUCUGUGGUUUGAAAAUGAGAGCUGAGCUAAAAGCACACUUGCUGUGGCAAUCUUAAGCUGCUUUUGCUGGUGUCAGGGGACUCUGCUCGUCCCUGGGGACUGGAAAGCUUGCUUCAUUUUCUCCUGUCUACCCGUGGAGCAAUGGGUGGCGGUUGAUUCAUCCAGUAGAAGCUGCUGCCGCCGCCUUCACAGAAGGUAAGCUUGUUCCAGUGGUUGAGUUUUCCUAUAUACCAGUCAGGAUAGCUGGAGAGCCCUAAGGAGUUCACUUUAUAAUUAAACAACCCUGAGACCAAAAAAAUGAACUUGGUAGUAUUGCCAGCCAGUUAAUGUCAGUGGGUAGCUUCCGAUUCAGUGGUCCUUAUGAUGGCCUAGUUUCUUCCUCCACCAACUUAGAUGCUUACCUUCCUGGGAAAGGAAGCUGGCAGAGCCUUUGAGACAUUUCUACCUCUGGAAUGCUGGCCGGCGCCAUCUUUCUCUGGGGAAUAGGCAGAGCCAUAGUGACCCAUUUUAGGCUUCCUCUCUGCUCUGCUCCCUGGAAACAUUCUAGCUAUGGGGAAGAACACUGCACAUAGGAGCAGAGAGCCACCAGUCACUGGCCUGAACUCUGCGGCUCCUGCCUCUCUGCUGCUGCUGGGGUCCUAGGGUAGUUACCUGAGGACCAUUGAAAGAAUCUGGAAAUACAUGAGGCCUGAAGGCAGGAAGACAUUCCCCUUUAGACUAAAGUGAGCUGUAUCAGAAGCAUAUUGGGGGAGGGGGCUGCAUUUUUAGCUGAUCCUUGUUGGAGGGAUGAGCAGUGCUCUGUAGCUUCGGGCUCAUUAAGGCUGGUUUCUCAGUCAGUUUGGCCUGUUUAUUCUAAGCUAACAAAAUGUCUUUAACUUCAGUUCUCUUCUAUUUCAUGUGUGCGCCCCUGUGGACCCAUGCAGAAGGCAGAGAAAAACAUUGCUUUCUCUCCAUCUAUCCCCAUUAGAUGUGGUCUGACACUGAACCUUGAGCUUUGGUGGGUUUGGCUAGGCUAACUAGGCAGCACAUUCUAGCAACUGACAUCCCCCCCCUCCCCGGAAACAAAAC